GAUUACUGCAGCCAUAUUGAAAAUAGUCAAGAUGGUCAAGGCAUCAAAACGUUCAUCAACAGCAUGUCAUUGUCAACACUUCUAAAACUGAUUCGCGCUAAACAGAGGCAACUUGUUUUGGAUCAGACACAUCUGCUAAGAGUUCAAGUGGCCUUGGGCAGGUUGUCCAUACCCUCAAAGGCUGAGUUUUACAUUAGCAAACUCCUUCUCCGUUAUUAUACAUUUCUUUAGGUAAGAAUGAAAUGGGAAUCUAAAAGUGCCUCCACAGUCGGGCAAAUAAAAACCCAGCAACAGGAAA
rnacentral:lncRNA from 1 species